rnacentral:misc_RNA from 1 species
AAGUCGUAACAAGGUUUCCGUAGGUGAACCUGCGGAAGGAUCAUUACUAAAGAUUCACGUCUUUGGUUCCAUCUCGUGCACUGUAUACCCCUCUUCAGUACUUGUCGGUCUUGUGCUGUUGAGGCCCCUUUUUUUACCCUUUUUUUUACUUUAAUUUGAUAACUUCUGUUAGGUGGGGAAUAUAAUAAAACUUUCAGCAACGGAUCUCUAGGCUCUU